AAUUCCAGCUCCAAUAGCAUAUAUUAAAGUGGUUGCGGUUAAAACGCCCGUAGUUGGAUCAGCGGAUUUGGAGAACGGUCUGCCGAUGGGCUGUACUGUUCUCCUGUCCUAUUUUCUCUAGUUCGCUCUAGGUGCUCUUCACUGAGUGUCUAGAGUGGCUGGAACUUUUACUUUGAAAAAAUUAGAGUGCUCAAAGCAGGCGUCUCAGCCUGAAUAGUGGUGCAUGGAAUAAUGGAAUAGGACCUCAGUUCUAUUUUGUUGGUUUUCGGAGCAUGAGGUAAUGAUUAAGAGGGACAGACGGGGGCAUUCGUAUUGCGACGUUAGAGGUGAGAUUCUUGGAUCGUCGCAAGACGAACUACUGCGAAAGCAUUUGCCAAGAAUGUUUUCAUUAAUCAAGGACGAUAGUUAGAGGUUCGAAGGCGAUCAGAUACCGCCCUAGUUCUAACCGUAAACGAUGUCAACCAGCGAUCCGCAGGAGUUAUUCAUGACUCUGCGGGCAGCUUCCGGGAAACCAAAGUUUUUGGAUUCCGGGGGGAGUAUGGUUGCAAAGCUGAAACUUAAAGGAAUUGACGGAAGGGCACCACCAGGAGUGGACCUGCGGCUUAAUUUGACUCAACGCGGGGAAACUCACCCGGCCCGGACACCGUAAGGAUUGACAGAUUGAGAGCUCUUUCUUGAUUCGGUGGGUGGUGGUGCAUGGCCGUUCUUAGUUGGUGGAGCGAUUUGUCUGGUUAAUUCCGAUAACGAACGAGACUCUAGCCUACUAAAUAGAAGGCAAAUUAUUCGUUUGCUGUACUUCUUAGAGGGACUACGGGCGUCUAGCCUCACGAGAUUGAGCAAUA
rnacentral:rRNA from 1 species